ACGUCGUGGUUCACCCGCCUCGGCCUCCCAAAGUGCUGGGAUUACAGACGUGAGCCACCGCGCCCGGCAUGAAUAGUACUUAUACAUGUUUAGAUGCAAAUCUUUCCUUACAUAGUGUUCCUCCCCUCUGGAGGAUGCGGCGCUCAAGAUGCCAUGUUGGAAACAGAGAAACUGGACCCUGAUCUACCGGUGCCUUGACCUUGGACUGCCCAGCCUCCAGACCUGUGUGAAAUAAAUUUAUUUUCUUUAUAAAUUAUCCAAUCGGUGGUAUUCUGCUAUAGAAGCACAAAACAGACUAAGACAGGCAAGAAGAUUAUUCUGGCUGCAUAGAUGAGUUGGGAAAUAGUCUAUCUUCUAUUUUCUGGAAGAUUUUUUUGUAAUGUUAGCAUAAUCUGCUGUUCUAACGUUUGGUAGAACUUGCCCAUAAAACUGUAUGUGCCUGGGGAGGCAACAUUUCAACUUCAAUGUAUUUAAUAGUUAAAGGAAAAUUCAGUCUCUCUAUUCUCUUGAUUUUUUAAACCAAAUUAUACUAUUCUAAGUAUUUGUUUAACCUAAAUUUUAAAAUUUAGAAUAUAAAGCUUUUGACGAAAUUCUCAGUGUAUUUUAAACCUCUGUUUCAUCUAUAAUUAUGGUUCAUUUACAUUCCUAAUACUAUUUUUUCUUCUUUCUUUUUAUCUUCAUCAGUUUUACCAUAGUCUUUCCUAAGAACCCAAUUUUGGCUUUGUUGACCUUUUCUAUUGUAUUUUUUGUUGUUGGUUGUGGUGAUCUUGAGUUCUGGCCUUAUCUUUAUGUCUUUACUUCUCUCCUUGAGCUAAUUCUAUUGUUUGUUUGUUUUUGUUUUUUUACUUCUGAUUUUGGAAGUUUAGCUUGUUAAUUUUCAGCUAUUUUUCUUUUAUGUACUUUCUGUAUUGUUAUAUUUGACUAUUAAAAGUGUUUUUUUAAGCCUGUA
rnacentral:lncRNA from 1 species